GGGGCUGACCGGUUUUGACAGCGUGUAGAAAAGGUCAGUAAGCAUGCAGAGCAACGAUGCCUACGCUCUUUAAUCAGAGACAUCAAAAAAUUCAAAUGGCGAAAACAACUACGCUCUCGCUGCCUGAUUGAAGUACAGUAGAUCAGCUUUAUCCGCGUAACAGUUACGCAGGACGAGACAUCGCCCGAGAGUCCACGACCCGAGACUCCUCGACCCGGCGGUGCAGCAAAAUCGGGAAUAGGCACGGCCUCGCUCCGCGACCGCGCCGAAAACUUAGGAGCUAAGGCGUACGGCCGGGCGUUUCGACCCUACCGGCGCACGAAAAUCAAUUCGAAACUAAGCAUGUAGAAAGCUCGCUGAUUCCGCGUUUGGACGAGGGUUCAACCCCCUCCAGCUCCACUA
rnacentral:tmRNA from 1 species